ACUUAUAUAGCUUAUAAUUAGAGCAUUGUAUUGAAGCUGCAAGGGAGAUAAUUAAUAUCUGUAAGUA